CAAGUCGAGCGAACAGAGAAGGAGCUUGCUCCUUUGACGUUAGCGGCGGACGGGUGAGUAACACGUGGGCAACCUACCUUAUAGUUUGGGAUAACUCCGGGAAACCGGGGCUAAUACCGAAUAAUCUGUUUCACCUCAUGGUGAAAUAUUGAAAGACGGUUUCGGCUGUCGCUAUAGGAUGGGCCCGCGGCGCAUUAGCUAGUUGGUGAGGUAACGGCUCACCAAGGCGACGAUGCGUAGCCGACCUGAGAGGGUGAUCGGCCACACUGGGACUGAGACACGGCCCAGACUCCUACGGGAGGCAGCAGUAGGGAAUCUUCCACAAUGGGCGAAAGCCUGAUGGAGCAACGCCGCGUGAGUGAAGAAGGAUUUCGGUUCGUAAAACUCUGUUGUAAGGGAAGAACAAGUACAGUAGUAACUGGCUGUACCUUGACGGUACCUUAUUAGAAAGCCACGGCUAACUACGUGCCAGCAGCCGCGGUAAUACGUAGGUGGCAAGCGUUGUCCGGAAUUAUUGGGCGUAAAGCGCGCGCAGGUGGUUUCUUAAGUCUGAUGUGAAAGCCCACGGCUCAACCGUGGAGGGUCAUUGGAAACUGGGAGACUUGAGUGCAGAAGAGGAUAGUGGAAUUCCAAGUGUAGCGGUGAAAUGCGUAGAGAUUUGGAGGAACACCAGUGGCGAAGGCGACUAUCUGGUCUGUAACUGACACUGAGGCGCG
rnacentral:rRNA from 1 species